rnacentral:rRNA from 1 species
CCUACGGGAGGCAGCAGUGGGGAAUCUUGCACAAUGGGCGCAAGCCUGAUGCAGCGACGCCGCGUGGGGGAUGAAGGCCCUCGGGUUGUAAACCCCUUUCGGUAGGGAAGAAGCGCAAGUGACGGUACCUGCAGAAGAAGUCCCGGCUAACUACGUGCCAGCAGCCGCGGUAAGACGUAGGGGACGAGCGUUGUCCGGAUUUAUUGGGCGUAAAGCGCGCGUAGGCGGUUUGGUAAGUCGGAUGUGAAAUCCCGAGGCUCAACCUCGGGACUGCAUCCGAUACUGCCCGACUAGAGGUAGGUAGGGGAGAUCGGAAUUCCUGGUGUAGCGGUGAAAUGCGCAGAUAUCAGGAGGAACACCGGUGGCGAAGGCGGAUCUCUGGGCCUUACCUGACGCUGAGGCGCGAAAGCUAGGGGAGCGAACAGGAUUAGAUACCCUGGUAGUCCUAGCCGUAAACGUUGGGUGCUAGGUGUGGGGGGACAUCGACCCCCUCCGUGCCGAAGCUAACGCAUUAAGCACCCCGCCUGGGGAGUACGGCCGCAAGGCUAAAACUCAAAGGAAUUGACGG